AAGAUUAAUUUAAACAAUACACGAAUCCAUUAACUUUUUAUCCUAAAUCACGUCACCCAUCAUGAGAAAUCAGAACAGAAACCGUCGGCAAGCCCACCCAAAUGGAUUCGGAGGAAUCAGAAGAGAAAUACCCAAAUAGAUUCAUUCCCCCAACAAACCAUUUUUUCCCGCAAUUCCUGUAAAGCCAAUAAUAAUUUAUACAGUAUACCCAGAUCAAGAAAAUAUUCUAUGUAUUUUAUAGCAUGAUUUCCCUGAGGUCCAUACAGAGACCAUGCCCUAAAAAAACCAUUUUUUUAGCAAGGCGUAGGUAACACCAACACUUUUCGCCGCUUGCAGAAAACGAUAAAGCCAUUAAAGCACCAGGUAACACGUUUGUGGCCAGUUGGCAGGGGCCACCCAAAUAUUUUGCCUCAAGAGGGGCGGAAAAAAGGUUUGUGUACAACAAACAUGGCAGCACCGACAAAAUUUGAAGUUACAGAGCAAUAAGCAAGAUUGGUUGUUUGUUUGUUAACAAGUAAUCAAAGCGUCCCACAUGCGGUGCGCUGGAAAAGACGGUGCAUGCGCUGGUGCAGACACACAUGCAAGUGGCGGCGUGGAACGUACACAGCUGGUUCUGGUUCAGUGGCCAAGGUGAAAAGGACAUCUGUGGUCAAGCACAAGGACAAAGACAGGGCAUUACUAUUUACAAAUGAACAAAAGAAAAUGAAAAAUUCAUUGCUCAAAGAGUACUGGGUCAAAUUAUUUUUAUAUUAAAUUAAUGUUCGUGUGGAUUGUGGGUAAAGACUCCGUAGUAUAAAAAAUGAAGCUGGUACUAGAUACAUCUGAAUCUGUAAUAGUAAGAGAAGAUUUUAUCUGUAAAUAAUAACCAAGCUUAUCAGGGGAAAAAAAUGCCUUUUGCUGCCACAAAAGCUCUCAAAAAGUGGAAAAGGGUGAUCCAAACUACUGGCAUGGCUGCAUUCUCCAAAUAAUAAACAAGAUUAUGGCUUUU